rnacentral:rRNA from 1 species
AAUGAACGUUGGCGGCGUGGAUUAGGCAUGCAAGUCGAGCGCUCAUAGCAAUAUGGGAGCGGCGAACGGCGUAGGAAUUCAUAGGAACGUACCCUCAGGACGGGGAUAGCUACGGGAAACUGUAGGUAAUACCCGAUGAUCUCCGCGGAGCAAAGGUGUGAUUCCGCCUGAGGAGCGGCUUAUGCGAUAUUAGCUAGUUGGUGGGGUAAUGGCCUACCAAGGCGAAGAUGUCUAGGGGGUGUGAGAGCAUGGCCCCCACGACCGGAACUGAGAUACUGCCCGGACACCUACGGGUGGCUGCAGUCGAGAAUCUUCCGCAAUGGACGAAAGUCUGACGGAGCGACGCCGCGUGCGGGAUGAAGGCCCUUGGGUUGUAAACCGCUUUC